GACGAACGCUGGCGGCGUGCCUAAUACAUGCAAGUAGAACGCUGAAGAGAGGAGCUUGCUCUUCUUGGAUGAGUUGCGAACGGGUGAGUAACGCGUAGGUAACCUGCCUUGUAGCGGGGGAUAACUAUUGGAAACGAUAGCUAAUACCGCAUAACAAUGGAUGACGCAUGUCAUUUAUUUGAAAGGGGCAAUUGCUCCACUACAAGAUGGACCUGCGUUGUAUUAGCUAGUAGGUGAGGUAAUGGCUCACCUAGGCGACGAUACAUAGCCGACCUGAGAGGGUGAUCGGCCACACUGGGACUGAGACACGGCCCAGACUCCUACGGGAGGCAGCAGUAGGGAAUCUUCGGCAAUGGGGGCAACCCUGACCGAGCAACGCCGCGUGAGUGAAGAAGGUUUUCGGAUCGUAAAGCUCUGUUGUAAGUCAAGAACGGGUGUGAGAGUGGAAAGUUCACACUGUGACGGUAGCUUACCAGAAAGAGACGGCUAACUACGUG
rnacentral:rRNA from 1 species